rnacentral:tRNA from 1 species
GCCUCGGUAGUCUAAAGGCUUAGGACGCUCGCACGGAAUGCAAGAGAUCUGGGUUCGAUUCCCAACCGAGGUA